GACGAACGCUGGCGGCGUGCUUAACACAUGCAAGUCGAACGGAAAGGCCCUGCUUUUGUGGGGUGCUCGAGUGGCGAACGGGUGAGUAACACGUGAGUAACCUGCCCUUGACUUUGGGAUAACUUCAGGAAACUGGGGCUACUACCGGAUAGGAGCUCCUGCUGCAUGGUGGGGGUUGGAACGUUUCGGCGGUUGGGGAUGGACUCGCGGCUUAUCAGCUUGCUGGUGGGGUAGUGGCUUACCAAGGCUUUGACGGGUCGCCGGCCUGAGAGGGUGACCGGCGACAUUGGGACUGAGAUACGGCCCAGACUCCUACGGGAGGCAGCAGUGGGGAAUAUGGCACAAUGGGCGGAAGCCUGAUGCAGCAACGCCGCGUGCGGGAUGACGGCCUUCGGGUUGUAAACCGCUUUCGCCUGUGACGAAGCGUGAGUGACGGUAAUGGGUAAAGAAGCACCGGCUAACUACGUG
rnacentral:rRNA from 1 species